rnacentral:rRNA from 1 species
UACGGGGGGAGCAAGCGUUGUUCGGAUUUACUGGGCGUAACGGGCGCGUAGGCGGCCACCGCAAGUCGGUUGUGAAAUCUCUGGGCUUAACCCAGAAAGGUCAACCGAUACUGCGGGGCUAGAGUGCAGAAGGGGCAACUGGAAUUCUCGGUGUAGCGGUGAAAUGCGUAGAUAUCGAGAGGAACACCUGCGGCGAAGGCGGGUCUCUGGGCCACUACUGACGCUGAGGAGCGAAAGCGUGGGGAGCGAACAGG